rnacentral:rRNA from 1 species
CACGUAGGGACCAAGCGUUGUCCGGAUUCAUUGGGCGUAAAGAGCUCGUAGGCGGCUCAGUAAGUCGGGUGUGAAACCUCCAGGCUCAACCUGGAGACGCCACCCGAUACUGCGGUGACUGGAGUCCGGUAGGGGAGUGUGGAAUUCCUGGUGUAGCGGUGAAAUGCGCAGAUAUCAGGAGGAACACCACCAGCGAAGGCAGCACUCUGGGCCGGUACUGACGCUGAGGAGCGAAAGCAUGGGGAGCGAACAGG